GAUGGGAGGGUAACCAGUUGGA
rnacentral:siRNA from 1 species